rnacentral:lncRNA from 1 species
CUCAGACGUCGGGAGUAUGUUUGCUAACGUCGGGGAAACGGCGGUGGAGGAACGGAGCUGAGCGGCCCGAAUCUGGGGCUGGGUUGGGCAUGGGGGGCUCCGUGUCGCAGAGGAAGAAGAAAGAAAAAAAAAAACAAGGAAAAGGAAAGAAAAAAAAAAAGUGCUGUUUGGGGCUUUGGUUUUGAAAUGAACGUCGGCCCCGAGGUGUGUUUGCUCCGUGUCCCGUGGCUUAGGUGCGUGCGUGACGUGGGAUGAUUAAAUGCUCGCUCGCCUAAAAAGGAGCAUCCCAACCCCCGCCCCAUGAAAUCCCGGCUAUUCGCCUUUGUAAAUGCGCGUUACGAGCCCUUAUCCCCGCGCCCAGGACGGACGUGCGGUACCGGGGGCCGCUCUCACAUCGCGAUGGCCGCUCGCUGCGAAAAGUUUAUUGAUAGCUGCGGGGCUGUCAUCUUCGCCAAGCACAGGAGGCUCCGCACUCAUUUAGGGGCGCCAGCAGCGGCCGGAUCAAAGGAGCGGCCCGGAGGGGACCAUUGAGGACGUUAACCCGCAUCGGGGGAGCGAGGCGCCUCGGCCCUGGGACAGCGGCGUGCCGGGGCGGACAGAAGGGUUUGGCGCUCCCACCGUAAGGAGAUGCGCCCCAACCCCGAAUUAAGAACCCAAAUAGCGGUGCGUUGUGUGCCGCCUUGUCCCCUCGAUCCUACAGGACGUUGGGAUGUCUCUGCGGUUUGAGGAGCUCAGCCCGCGUCCCGCAGUGAGAGAAGGAUCCGCGCUCAUUGAUAACGUGAUAACCAGCGCUGCAUCCCCCCCUGCACUGAACGCUUCGUGCUUAUGUUUCUGUCACACUUGGUGGUGUUUUAAUCCCUGCAUCGUAGCGAGCGCUCGGCUCUCACUCGCACUGCCGGCAAGCAGACGGGCUGCGAACUUUCCUCCCUUUCUUGUUCCUUCUUUCCUUUCUAAAUGAAACACGCGGGCUUUGGGUAAGGAAGGGAGAAAUCCGAUUUACAAAACGAAAUCUGCCCCGGGAUGGUUUUUCUUGUUUAGCGGGAGAUGCUCGGCACACCGGGCUCUCUUCCUUAUCGCCGUGUGAACGGCGCUGGUAUUUAGGGAUUCUGUGUGCUGACGCGUUGGUGCCCUCACCUGCUUUUAGGUGCCUCGUUCUUAUAUUCCUAUAAGGGAAACCGAAGUGGAAGGGCAGGGCGGGACGUAAGGGGGGAGAGGAAGGGGGGGGAAUAGGUGACUUUAUUGGUGGUUGUUCCAGCCUAGGGCUUUUAUGGGGAGCCGUGCGCUGCCCUUAAGGCACUUGUGCAAGAUAACAAUAUUGGGCAAUUAGCAUCCCAAACAGUCCCGUUUCAGGGGAUGAAUGCGCAAGGCAAAGCCAUUACCCAUCGCGUUUUAUUUCGGUGGGAAUACAACAACAAACGCUGGUGGGAGCCAAUGGGGGAUGGGGAGGGAGGACCGGAGGCAGCGCUGAGCCGAUUCAGGGCAUUGUCUGCCUUUUGUAAACGUUAUCUUUUGACUUAAAGGCAGGGGUAGGACAGAAGAGAGUUGUUGUUUCCCUUGUUUCUAUUUUAUUUCUCCCUCUUAGGACACGGGGCAGCCCUGGAGGACUUUGGGACACGGGGAUACGGGGAUGCGCGGUUGUGCCCGCACCGGGCACCGCUGCACGCUUUUUGCGCGCUCUUUGCGCGCUCCCCGCGUGCCCCUGCCACCCGAUCGGCUCCGUCCGGGGGGACGCUUCGCAAAUAGCGAAGAUCUAUGGCAAGCGGUAACACUGCCUCGCGGGUUUUACGAGCCUGAAACGCCCUUCAAGUGCCAACUCCCUCCCGCUCCAGUCAUUGCUCCACUGAAAAUACGAAAAUACCUCGCUUCUUCCCCUUCCCUCUCCUUCUCCCUUUCUGCCCAAAUCGAACAGAACCCAAACUACUUUUAGGGCUUCAGACACCGGGGCUGCUCCCGGAGAGGUGCCGGGGCUGUGCACGACCGCACCCCCGCUCCUUCGAGGCUCGAGAGCGGAGCUGAAAGGAAAGCACUAUUUCAAGUGGCCCAAAUUAAUUUGAUCGCGACAUUAUGAUGCACUUGAAAAAGAUGAAAGAAAAGGCUACCCGUCUCCUCCAAGAUCUCUAUAAUUAUAGAUAAUAUAUCCUAUUUCAAAGCAAUUAGCUCAAUCAGGCGUAACGAGGCACUUUGCUGCCAGGGAGUAACAAUGCCUUACGGUUAUUUAAGCUUCAAGAUGUCAAGCAGACUUCGAGACUCUCUGCUUUGCCCGAGAGGGAACUUGGCUGCCUUGGUGCUAGCCCCAUGGCGAAGGCAGCGGUUCCUCUUUAGUGACAACACGCCUGUUUGACUUCAGCGUUAUUUUUAAAGCUCCUGCAGAUGUACCAGAGAAGCGUCUCUUUUCCAGGGGCAUUUGGGGCCGGCAUUUGCGUACCAUCCCUUCUGCCUUUCCUCGGUGCCUUCCCCCCCCCUCAUUUCAUGUGUUCUGUAGGGGAUUCCAACUGCUUCUCAGCGAGAGUGGAGGAAAAAGUGUUCAUGGGAUGAGAUCCCACGGCCUCCUGGUCCCAGCCGGCCCCUUCCUACCCCAAAGCUUUACUCCGAGCUCUCCUCGGUUUUGUUGUUUUGUUUUGUUUUGUUUUUGCCUUUCACUAUUAAUUAUUAUUGUUGUUGUUAUUAUUAUUAUUUUGACCUUGAAUGGUCACAGAUGCCAAAGGUCCCAAAGCAAAGUGAGCAUCCCGCUGCUGCAUCCAGCAGUGAGCCAUUGGGCCACAGAUGUGUAUGCCCGGGUGUGGAGUGGGGUCUGCCUGGCACCCAGGUGGGGAGCAGAGGCUGAAAUGCUGAAACCCCCUCGUCUUCACUGAAAGCUUCAGGAGGGGUGUGUGGAGUGGGUUGGCCCCACUGUUUCCAGGGGACCCAAAUGCCAAAGAAAAAAGAAAAAAAGGAAGGAAAAAGGAAGGAAGGAAGAAAAAAAGGAAUGAAGGAAGGAAGAAAAGAAAGGAAGGAAGGAAAAAGAAGACGUUUUUCCUCUUUCUCGUUGCUACUGCAAAGAGACGCUCUGGACGACCCGCACGGCACAGCUUAGCACGGCACAGCACGUCAAGGCAUGGCAUGGCAUGGCACGGCACGGCACGGCACGGCACGGCAUGGCACAGCACUGCACAGCCCCCGCCUGGCCCCGGCCCUGAGAGGCCGUGCGAGCAGUCCCAGCCCCUGCGAGGCGUUCUCGGAUGAAACGGUGCUGGAAGGAAAAAUGAGCAAGGGUACAAUUAACCUGUCAGCUCCCCUUGCAGGGAUUUUUUAUUGCUGGGGGGUAAGGGAGGGAAAAAUAUUAUAUAUAAAUAUACAUAAAAAAAAAGAAAAUACAACGAAAAAACCAUCGUCCCAUGGGUGAGUCAUUUGAACUGGACAAUUCAAGGGAAAUAGGAGGCCGGGGGCAUGAAUGAGGACUAAACAAAGUUUAACCACCCCUCCUUCUUUUCUCCAUGCGCAAAAUGGAAACCUUAUUACAUGAUUCACUGUGAAUCACUAGAUUGAAUGCGAUCAUUAUGAGUAAAUGAUAGUCCGGGCUCCGCCGGUCUUUUCUUUCCUAGAGGCAAAACUAUAAAAUAUGAAGGAUAUAAAUGAUCUCCGCUCCCUCAAAGGACGCCCAUUCACAGCCGCGCUCUGUCUCACUCCCAGUUCCUUUUGCCCCCCCCCGAACUCCCCAUGAUCAAGGUAGAUUACAACGAGUCCCUCUUUUUUUUUUUUUGGUCUUUGCGUGCUUGUUUAUUGGCAAAAUGUCACGAAAUGUAAUUUGCCCCAAAUUCUUUAACAUGAGAAAAUACUUUGUGGUUGGAAGAAUUCACACUGGUACUGCCGAGGCGAUCUCUGAUGCUCAGAGCAAGUUCCUUAUGCUGCCAUUUUACAGCGUUUCCGUGUUUACUCGUCGGUUCUCAGGAGCUUUUUACAUAUUGUUGCAUAAGAAAAGGAUUUAGCCAGCUCUAGUUAUGAGAUUUCCUAGAUUUUUUACAGGCGAGGCCAGUUUACAAAAGCUGUAUUGUUUGACUGCGGUCUGGGUUUCCAAUGGGGUAAUUAUUGUAUUCCCAGCCUUCUUCUAAUCAUUUGCUCACAAGGACAUAGUUUAGGAUUUUAUUUAUUUCUUUCUUUUUUGAACAAGAUGAAAUACUUCAAACUUGCAGGAUCAUUGGAAUAAGCCCUUGCUUCUUCUCUUGUUGUGUACAAGUUAUUCCUUACCUCUUUCUAAACUGCUGGAAAAUAUCUGUAUUUAAAGGACAGCGAGACAGUCCCAAUAGUUUGUUCCUAAUAGAAAGUUUGUUACCAAGAGAAAUGUUGAUGUGAAUGGAAAAACAACAACAGUAAAAAGUUUUCAGAAGGAAAUACAUUUCGUAUAGAUAAUAAUCAGCUCCUAGGGAAAGAAAAAAAAAAAGUACACUGAAAGAAAUAUCUCAGGAGAGCCAAUGCCUGCGUGCAGUAGUGCCUGUGCAGAGGGGUUUCCUACAGCUGCUGCCUCCUGAGCACAGCAGAGGGCACUGAGGCUGGAGGUGGUCUGCUCCUUCCUGCACCCCUUCUUGAUCAUGUCAGUCUCCUCUGUCUCCCUCUUUCAUUUGCAUCUGUAAAAAACGAGGCCUGAAAAUAUGAGGGCUACUCCGAAAGUAAUGCCUCCUGUUUUAUUCUGUUGACCCGCAACAUCAGUGACAGAUGUUGGUGAUGUGGCAGUAGAGGUUGAACCCUCCCACCAAUAUACCACUACAAUUUUUGCCAUGUAACAGAUGGCAGCAGAGGGGCAGUCUGACAAAGUGAUGUCUGACAUCAAAGUGCAGAUGAAGCAAAGGUGUAUCACUGAAUUCCUCCAUACAGAAAAAAUGGCACCCAGUGACAUUCACAGAUGCUUGCUGACUAUUUCUAGAGGCUAAACAGUGGGUGUGAGCACAGUGAGGUAGUAGAUGGUACAUUUCAGAAGUGGUGACAGUGACUCUGUUGGUACAGAUCUUUAAAAGCUCAGCGUGCAGACUCCUGUUCAUUGCAGAGCUAAUGGUAGUGACCGUGUUGAAAAAGAGUGUCUUGUAACUGAGAAUUUGCUCUAUCAAGCAGUGUUAUCAGUUGUAAUUUCCUUGGAAAUAAAUAGGAGGCAUUACUUUUGGAAGAACUGAUAUGGUUUUUAAUUUCCCUGUGCAAAGGAAACUACAGUUGCGCAGCAGCAUAACUGGUGCCAGGUAUCUUCCAGACUGUCUAUGAAGAAACAAAGUUACAUCACACUCCUGUAACUAUCAAAGCCAUCCGCAAACAGUUGGAACUGUCCUGGUGAGAUGUGACCUCCUCUUUGGGAACUGCAGCGCUUAAUUAUUUUGGAGAUGUGAUCUCACCACAUCCUUCUGCUGAGUGGCGGCUGAUGGUUGGAUAUGAUACUGUGAGUUACGUCAUUCUAAUAGACCAGUGUAACCAAACAAUUCCACUGCCGGAGGAGGAGGGGGAAAAAUCCCAAAUAUUUUGUAGGGAAACUGGAUUUGUCUUUCAGAAAGCUUAUGUUUGUCUCAGAUUUUCCAUCAACUGCAAGCGUAGACAUAAUCAAAAAUGUUCCUGGCUUGCCCAUUGCCGGGCUGAUUAGGACUUGGAACAGAAGAGAUAACAUUUCUCGACAUCAGGCUGCCUUGAGCUGCCUUCAUGUUAUUCCCUGCAUAUGCGUUUUUGACGUUAUUUAUGUAACAAGUGUGGGUUGUCUAUUGGUGUUGAGUCAUUUUGCCUUUCAACAGCUGUUUUGUUUCCAUCACUCAGGGCAAAACCUCUAGCAGCCCUUCAAGCAGCACCAUACUCCUUGUAGUCAUUAUUGCAGUCCUCAAGUGGAGGAGAGAAGCUUUCUGACCACUCACAGGCAUAUUGCUUUCUGACCACUCACAGGCAUAUUGCAGGGAGAUGGAGUCCUCCUGGGAUGCAGAGAUGGAGGUAAUCUUUCCAGAACUUGUGAGUUUUCAGUAGUGAUCAAGCCCUCUUUUCAGCCAUUUUACUCCCUUUCUCCUCCCGGUUUUUUGGAUUCAGUUAUCCUGGGACAUUAUUCUGCCCUUUUGUGUUCCCUGCCUGCCCCCAGCCAGCCCCACUGGCAUGACCUUUAGGGAUAAAAUUCAAUUGAUUUGGCUACUUUGCAGACAAAAUCUGAAGCCUGCCUUAAUUUGUAGUUUACUCGUCCUCUGAUGUGAGACUACGUAGAAAGCCCCUAUCUGAUCAAAUGGCCAGUACCUUGACACAGCCCAAUUAUGUGAAAAUAUAUCCUCACUUAUCAUUUCAGGCAUCGUAUAAGCAGAGAAACCAAAGUCGCUCCCUGUCUGUUUGAUUUUCCUGCUCAGACACACUUGUUUAAACAGGCACCGUGAGACUUUUCUAUAAUCCUCCUCAGAGGAGUUCAGAAAGGUCUGUGGGCCUGCGUGCCCCCAGCUGGAUGACUGUGGCUGCUCCAGCACAGCAGGCAGUGCCAGAGCCCCCCAGCAUCCCCUCUAGCACUGCCCACCUGGAUUCACCCUGGUGCUGAGCUGGGACUUUCCCUGGUUUCACUGUAUCCCCCUUCCUGACCCAGCCCUGCUUCAUCCCUUCCUGAGCUGGCCCCCUCUUGAGCUGGUCCCACUGCAUUCGCCAGCCCUGUCUCACCUGCUCUAUCCUGGCGACCUCAGUGGAGGCAACCAGUUGUCAAGGAAGUCAUUAAAGCUGACAGCUACCAAAUACUCAUCAUCCAGCCUGGAUUUACAGUGCACAAGAGCUGUCAGGCAAAAGGCAUCCCAGAGAGCUGCAGUCCCAUUGUCCCUGUUACGCACUUCACUGUAAUGCAUGACUCAGCCUGACAGACUCAAACUAGU